AACGAACGCUGGCGGCAGGCCUAACACAUGCAAGUCGAGCGAGGACUUCGGUCCUAGCGGCGGACGGGUGAGUAACGCGUGGGAACGUGCCCUUUGCUUCGGAAUAGCCCUGGGAAACUGGGAGUAAUACCGGAUGAGCCCUUUGGGGGAAAGAUUUAUCGGCGAAGGAUCGGCCCGCGUUGGAUUGGGUAGUUGGUGGGGUAAUGGCCUACCAAGCCGACGAUCCAUAGCUGGUUUGAGAGGAUGAUCAGCCACACUGGGACUGAGACACGGCCCAGACUCCUACGGGAGGCAGCAGUGGGGAAUCUUAGACAAUGGGGGAAACCCUGAUCUAGCCAUGCCGCGUGAGCGAUGAAGGCCUUAGGGUUGUAAAGCUCUUUCAGCUGGGAAGAUAAUGACGGUACCAGCAGAAGAAGCCCCGGCUAACUCCGUG
rnacentral:rRNA from 1 species